CACGUAGGGGACGAGCGUUGUCCGGAUUCAUUGGCGUAAAGCGCGCGUAGGCGGCUCGGAAAGUCGGUCGUGAAAUGCCGGGGCUCAACCCCGGGACUGCGUCCGAUACUCCCGAGCUGGAGGCAGGUAGGGGAGAUCGGAAUUCCUGGUGUAGCGGUGAAAUGCGCAGAUAUCAGGAGGAACACCGGUGGCGAAGGCGGAUCUCCUGGGCCUUGCCUGACGCUGAGGCGCGAAAGCUAGGGGAGCGAACAGG
rnacentral:rRNA from 1 species